CUAGUUCUGGUCUAACUCUGGUGAGCUCUCUAACGAUUAGACCUACGAGCUUCCUCUUUUUCUCUUUUCUAAUCAAUAUGAAAAAAGGCUACAGCAUGAGGGAGUAGGCUCCCCAACAACGUACCCAAAAGGAAAAAAGCAAUGCCAACAGAAGAAUGGUAACCAGGAAAUGGGUCCAUAGAUGAUCCCAAAUGAACAAUGUACGAUCCGAUCCUAUGCAAGGGCCGCUAAAAAGCAGUAACCAAAUGCAAAAGCAGAAACCCUUCCUAAGGCCCCACAAGCCAACACCAACAACCACCGUGAAAGUGUUGUUGAGGGAGAGGCACUGUAGAAACCUGAUUAGGAACCGUCGAAGAGGAGUUACGAACUCUAGCUACAAAAGGUAUCUCCUCAGCAAGAUCAAACCACAAAGAAACACAGAGAUAAUAACCCCACCAAAAGCCACAAAGACAGAAAUACUACAAAGAUACAACAGAAAAAAUAAAAGCAGAAAAACAACAAAGAGACCAAGAACAGCUGCAUCUGUGGCGGAAAAAGUUGAUGGAGAAGCGCGUGGAGACCUCCGAGCUUCCCCUGUUUCUAUGCAAAGGGAGAUACUUUUUGGCUAUUUUCUUUGCAAGGCAGUAAGCAGUUGAUUGGAUGGUGAUCAUGGGAUUGACACCAACAGCACUUGGCAGAAGACUAGCAUCACAAACGAAUAGGCCUUUAGCUUCCCAACUUUCCCCAUUCACAUCAACCGCGCCUUCUUUGUCAUCAAUUCCCAUUCUACAGCUCCCCAUCUGAUGGGCAGAGGUAAGUGGUGUCCAAUUCUCUACAAGUGACAAUGGCCCUUCCACAGCAGACACCGUGUCCAGAAACACCUCCACUUCCUUUUCGCUAAUUCCUUUACAUUUGAGUCUCUGGCCAUCACUCCGAUGGGUGCCCACCUCAACAGCCCCUGCUGCUACCAAAAUUCUUAAUGCCUGCUUUAAUCCAGCCCUGAGGUUUCCUCUGUCUGAUGCGUCUAAUCUGUAGUUUACCCUUCCCUCCACCCUAACAUUUCCAGAGCCCGAGUCCUUGAUUAUGGUAAUCAAAUGAGCAGUCCUUGCAUACUUCACCAUCCUUUUCUUUAUGUCUAGUCCAGAUUCCCAAGGACAUAAAACAGAAAAUGAUGCCGGCCCUAAUGCUGGAGUUUCUAUAAUGGCUCUUACAUUUGAGUCUGCCUCUACCACCUUAUGGACGGAUGUGAUUAUUCCACCCUCGUAGCUUUUACCCUUGAGCUCUGUAUUUGAUCCUGGAAAGUAUCCCCAGGCCAUAGCAACAGGGUGGAGAUGAAGGUUGCGACCAAUGUUGUGGUUCUUCAAUCCACUAGAUAUCAUUAGAGGGGGUGUUAAAAGAGCCCCACAUGCGGAGAUGGUUACUUUGGCCUCAAUCUGCAGUAUCUUUGUGAUGUUUUUGGUCAUAGUCUUUGCUACAACUCCCAGGCAUUUCUUUGCUCGUUUGCUUCCACUCUUAUUCUCUUUCAGUAUGAAUCUCUCAGCUUUACAUCCUGUUAAGAUCACUGCACCAUGAUCCACUGCAUCCACAAGCCACGUAGAAUCAGUCCCUUUUUUGUUCCCUUUUGUACAGCCAUAACAACAAGAUCCACAAUAAUGAUCCUCCGAGGAAUUUCGAGGCACAUAAUCAACUUUAAGGCCCAAAUUCUCACACCCUUUUCGCAAUACUUGGUUUUGGAAACUCUCCUCUACACAAUUCUCUGUUACACCAAUUCUCAAACACACAGCAUCCAUUGCAGAACGAUAUUCAGGGUUCCCAAACAGUGGGAUCUUGCAGUCCUCAGCCCAAUCCCGACACACUUCAGCGGGAGUUUUGAUAGAUGCUGACCAGUUAACAGCAGAGCCACCACCUACUGUUGAACCUGCCAGAAUAUACGUUCCCCCAUCAGCAGACGGAAAGAUUCCUCCUGCUUCAUAUAGUUGCUCCCAGGAAGGGCCCUCUAAAGAAGAAUAGUCAGCAGCAGUGAAAUAGUUCCCUUUCUCAAGAACAAUGACCUUGUGGCCUGAACAUGCAAGCACAGCAGCUGCAACACCUCCUCCACACCCAGAGCCAACAACUACAACAUCACAUUCGAUUUUGAAGAGGUUGUCUCUGGGGUCCAGUGUAGCUUUGAUGCCUUUCUGGGCAAGGGAAUGCACAAGGGUUGAGUCAGUUUCGUGCAUAGUUUCUACCAUUCCCUUCUCAAGAGGCCUCUUUUUGGGGACUUCAGAUGGGUCCUCAUCAUUGUCCACGUGAUAUCCAAUGGCUUCCCAUGCUGGGUUUACAGCAUUUUCAUCCACCUGUAGAAUGAAACGUCAUAAGGGAAGGAUGAAAGUAGAUACUAAAAUAAACUUCGGUGAAUCGGUGCCGUUCUUCACUCCUAAUUCUAUGUACAGACUAUGAUUUCCCUGCACCAGAUAGAGGAUCCUAGUCCGUGAUUACUGAAACGCAAUGUUCAUCUUUGCCAUUCAAAAAAUGUAGAGGUUCAUAUAUAUCAUUUGGAACUAGAGAUUGAGAGAAAGGGAGAGAAUCGUGUAAUUCGAAGGAAUGAUUACAAGUUUAGAACUUUUAACUUCU